rnacentral:rRNA from 1 species
UACAGAGGUUGCAAACGUUGCUCGGAAUUAUUGGGCGUAAAGCGCGUGUAGGCGGCUUGUUAAGUUGGUCGUGAAAGCCCACAGCUCAACUGUGGAAGUGCAACCAAAACUGGCAGGCUAGAGUUCUAAAGAGGAUGGCGGAAUUCCCAGUGUAGAGGUGAAAUUCGUAGAUAUUGGGAGGAACAUCGGUGGCGAAGGCGACUACCUGGCCUGUUCUUGACGCUGAGGCGCGAAAGCUAGGGGAGCAAACGGG